ensembl:snRNA U7 U7 small nuclear RNA
AAAUGUGCUCUUUUAAUAUUUCUCCUAGUAGGUUUUCUGAAGUAGAAAGCCUCC